rnacentral:rRNA from 1 species
AACGCUGGCGGCGUGCCUAACACAUGCAAGUCGAACGCAAAAGCCCUUUCGGGGGUAAGUAGAGUGGCGUCCGGGUGAGUAACACGUGGGUAAUCUGCCUUCGGGUGGGGAAUAACCCAGGGAAACUUGGGCUAAUACCGCAUAAUGCAGCGGCACCUAAUGGUGAUUAGUUGUUAAAGCGGGGGAUCGCAAGACCUCGCGCCUGAAGAGGAGCCUGCGGCAGAUUAGCUAGUUGGUGAGGUAAUGGCUCACCAAGGCUUCGAUCUGUAGCUGGUCUGAGAGGACGGCCAGCCACACUGGCACUGACACACGGGCCAGACUCCUACGGGAGGCAGCAGUGGGGAAUUUUGGGCAAUGGGCGAAAGCCUGACCCAGCAACGCCGCGUGAGGGAGGAAAUCCUUCGGGAUGUAAACCUCACAAGCAAGGGAAGAGAGCUAUGGGCUGAAUAAUCCCGUAGUGCGACGGUACCUUGCGUAAGCCACGGCUAACUACGUGCCAGCAGCCGCGGUAAUACGUAGGUGGCAAGCGUUGUUCGGAAUUAUUGGGCGUAAAGGACGCGUAGGCGGCUUGUUAAGUCGGCUGUGAAAGCCCGGGGCUCAACCCCGGAGGGUCAGCCCGAUACUGGCAGGCUAGAGUACGGAAGAGGUAGCUGGAAUUCCCGGUGUAGCGG